GUGCUUGCUUCGGCAGCACGUAUACUAAAAUUGGAACGAUACAGAGAAGAUUAGCAUGGUCCCUGAACAAGGAUGAUGUGCAAAUUCGUGAAGCGUUCAUAUUUUUG
rnacentral:snRNA from 1 species